rnacentral:rRNA from 1 species
UACGUAGGUGGCAAGCGUUACUCGGAAUCACUAGGCGUAAAGCGCAGGUAGGCGGUUUGAUAAGUCUGUUGUGAAAGCUCCCGGCUCAACUGGGAGAGGCCAACGGAAACUGUCAGGCUAGAGUGUGGUAGAGGAAACUGGAAUUCCAGGUGUAGCGGUGAAAUGCGUAGAUAUCUGGAGGAACACCGGUGGCGAAGGCGGCAUUCUGGACCGACAUUGACGCUGAGGAGCGAAAGCCAGGGGAGCAAACGGG